rnacentral:rRNA from 2 species
UACGAAGGGGGCUAGCGUUGCUCGGAAUCACUGGGCGUAAAGCGCACGUAGGCGGAUCUUUAAGUCAGAGGUGAAAUCCCAAGGCUCAACCUUGGAACUGCCUUUGAUACUGGGGAUCUCGAGUCCGGAAGAGGUGAGUGGAACUGCGAGUGUAGAGGUGAAAUUCGUAGAUAUUCGCAAGAACACCAGUGGCGAAGGCGGCUCACUGGUCCGGUACUGACGCUGAGGUGCGAAAGCGUGGGGAGCAAACAGG